ensembl:lncRNA
GUUUGGGAUUAAUAUGUACGGUCAGAGUGCGCAGGCUGCUGGAGAGGAGCGAGCGCCCCUUGAACUUGGCGAGCGCCUGGACCAGCCGUGGUAACAGAUGGAGGACGGCGGUCCCUGCAAAUGUACAGUAUGUUUCUCACCACGGCGCCCCCCUGCGACGUGGAAGCACACCCCUGCCUCUCAAACACCAGCUGCGCAGGGAAGAGGCCGUAUCGGAGGACUGUGAUUGGAUUGGAGGAGCCGGCCAUGUUGCCUGUCAGUGUCUCAGGAUGUGUCCAGCGGCCAAUCGGCAGCCGCCCGGUCGGCUUACCACAGCCACGGCGGAGCUUUGAAGAUAGUGCUACUGGGACAGAACGACGUGGGCAAGUCGUCGCUAGCCUUAUCUCUGGCCGGGCAAUCGGACAGAUCCCUCUCUAUAGACUCUGAGAUGCGAGCAUGUGGUAAAGACCUGGAUGGCGAUUGAUGGAUUUGGAUUUUUAAAUCUGUCUGAAGGGUUACUUUAGAAAUGCUUCAUUCACACACUGCGUUAGCUAAGCUUAACAAUUACUUGUCAAAAGUCAGGUGAACAGAUUGAUACCACUCUGAUGUCUUCAGGCUAGACAUGAGCCUGGAGGUAGCAAUUAGCUAGCCUAGCUUAGCAUAAAACACAAAACAGAUAUUCUACAGAGGUUAUAAAAUGGCUUCUGGUUGCAGAGCCGGGGUAAGCUGAUUGCGCCCUUUUUCCAGUCUUCAUGCUAAGCUAAUACAACAAGCUUCCCUUUGGGUCCCCCUCAUGCAUAAAGCUGACUUGGCCGUGACUCACGACAUACAGGAUUCAUUACUGCCCAUGUUGUACACUUGGACUCAUGCAUCAUAAAUGGAUAGAAAAACUACUUCCUUCCAAGAAGCUUGUGCACUAUUUCCAUCAAGCCAAUUUUUAACAAAGCUGUAAAUUGUUCUAUAAGCUACACGUCAAAAAUUGUAAAGUGUAAAACAUAACAUUUUACUAAAAAUAAACUAAUCAACACCUAUUUAAUUACUGCUUUUACAACAGUUUUCAGCAGAUGCUCUAGCAGCCCCGUGAGUGGGUUAACACCUCACUAAUCAAUACGUGUCCUCACAAAGUAAUUACUGGUGAAAUAUAGUGAGACCCUAUUAACACCAAGGCAUUUGCUGUGCGGUAUCGAUUUCAAGCUGUUAUGGGCUUCUUUAUAUUUUAAAAGCUUCACUGCAGUUAUAGGUAGUUUAUUACAUUUAUCAAGUGAAUUAAAUGGUCAACAAGCAUCUUUAAGGUUUUACUUUUUCUUUGCAACUUACAAUGCUAAUGUGUGCCUUUUGUACGUCUAAAUGGUUGCUCUUCCUGUCACCAAAUUCCAUGAAAAGCCACGACUAAUGACAUUUGUUGAUCCUAUUCACCAGCAUUGUGUGUGUAAACAUAAGAUAAAACAUGCUGAGCCACGCCAUUAACAGCUGUUCAUUAAUAAACGCGCAGAUACUGUAGAUGAUCCCUGAAAACACAAUAUUUCACUAGAUGUAUGUUAAUGUAGUUGAGCAGCUAAAACUCAAGGUGUCUCAGACUUACUGAUAAUCAUCAUCAAGCCGUACUGAGGGUCUCAACUGCUUCCUCCCUCAAGCAAACUGUGGCUCAGCUGUGUGAGAGGAAGCGCUGCCAGGUCUCUGGCAGCAAGAAGUAGGCAAGAGAAGCCAUGUCCAGAAGAACCGUUCAUGUUCUUCAAUAUUCUAUUCAUGUUCAGGAGAACCCAUUGAAG